UCCCUGGAGGACUAGUGGUUAGGCCACGGCGCUCUCUUCUCUGCGGCCUGGGUUCGAUUUCCGGCCAGGGAA